AUGGCUCCCCGAGAGCUCCUCCGCCGCCUUCCCCCAGUUCAGUGGGUCGGCCCGCGCCGGCUGCGCCACGCACAAGCCAUCGCCGUUGGCGGCAACGUGUGCAUUCUCGCACUCCAUCGAAAGAUGCAGAGAGGUACUAAAGCAAGUGAGCUAGCUGGACGCCGGCAGGGGUAUGUGUAUCUGGAUUCUGAAAGUAAGCUGGCUAGACGCCGGCAGAUGUAUGUGCUGAAGAGGAGCUCAGCUGCAGAUGAAGCUGAGGCUCUUUGGAGGGGAAAGGAGGGAGGCGAGGGAUUAAAUAGGCAGCUGAGGAGGUAG
rnacentral:rRNA from 1 species